CAAACCGUGCCCACACCGAGCAAGCAUCGACCAAAGAGAGAAGGGAGAAAGAGACAUCCGCCGUCGGGUAUAGGUGUGUGGGUCGCCACCUUGCUCAUAAAGUAUGGUCGGAGGAUGUCGACAUGACGUGUUGUACCUGUGCGAGGCAUCUUCGAGCUUUGGGGUCAGCGAAACCUCGAGAAUUCCUCGUUGGAGUUCCCACUCCCCCGCGGUGCCACUCCUCGCCGUGGCCGGCGUCACCUGAGCGACAAUCCGUGGUAAUAUUCCCUUGAACUUGUUCGCCAUGUUCUCAUGUAUGUGUAGCACCGUUCUCCUUGAAGGUAGCGCGCCGGGGCAAGAGAUGUCCAUACGCCGACGAGGCACCACCGCGGGCUUGGUCGGGCGUAAGAGAAGCUCUACUGGCCGUUGAUCUCCCUGCAGACAGCCGUGAUUAAACCAAGACAUAACCCUUCGCUUCAUUAAACCUUCGUCGUAGGAUGCAAAUCGUCCAAUGGAGAUUAGAUCUUUGCAUGAGUGUUAUCAGUCUUUGAUCUCAGAUCCAGAGGCUAGGAAGGCAUAUCGGUUCGAUUAGAUUUCGAUCUAAUCUGGACCACACAAGUUACAUCCGACGGCUGAUAUUCCAUGAUACCCCUUCGUGCCCGAAUGUUUGCAUAAGAGACGCCAUAUUACUGGGGAUUCAACCCGCGGUUUCACCUAGUUUAAAGACUAUCACAACAAGGUCCUUUUAUUUGUGAAUAACACCCUGACCUUUCCAAUUUUUGAACCCCCAAGCUCGGGUAUUUAUAAAAUUGAAUAUAGAAAAGGAUUUUUAGUAUAAAAGUAAUUCCAGAAAACUAAUAAAUUUGUAUCUUAUUCAUUUUAACUCCGAUUUGACUCGUUUAAGUUGCGAUAGCUUUGUAAUAAAAUUGCCUACGCAAUAAGAGCCUUAAUUGUAUCAUAUCAAAUACUUUUAUAAUUAGAUAUUUGUUUUAUCCUAUGUUUAGUACAUUUAUCUUACUAAUCAAAGUUAAUGUGUCUAUAAUUAUAAUCAUACUCUAAUCAAGUUAUAGCUUAGAUUAAAAUUGAAUUUGUUGUUUAAUUAGAAUAUAUUUACUCACAUGGUUUAUAUUAAUCAAGAUAACAUAGUUUAAUAUGUAAUAAUAUAAAUCUUCUGAACACUACAACUUUCUAACCGUAACUCCAAAUUUAGUGGUUCUCGAACUGUGAUAUCCUGGCCCCUGGGAUGGUGAUAUCCUGGCCCAAGGCUUAAUAGGAUUAAUAGAGUAUCCAUACCAACAAGAUGCAUCUUCUUUUUCCAAAGGCUAUCUCGAAAGAACCUCCAAGUUAAACGUGCUUGGCUUGGAGCAAUUUGAGAUGGGUGACCGACUGUAAAGUUUUCUCGGGUGCGCAUGAGUGAGGACAAAGUGCACAUAAAAGACUCGUGUUGGUCUGUGGAGACAAUAUAUGAUCCUAGCGAGCUGUCAGGAGUAAGUACCGCCGGUCCAGGGAUUGGACGGGGUGUUACAAGUGGUAUAAGAGCUGACCCUCGAGGUUUCACGGGCGUGUGUGGGAUAGGGGGUUUGGGUAUAUGGCGCAUGUCACAUGUGGGCCCAGAGUGGUCACAUGGCAUGACAUAUGACGACACUAGACACACAUAUGUGGCUAAGAGGGGAGGUUUUAAGAUUGGGGUUGACCGACGAGGACGUCGAUCUUCUAAGGGGGAUGGAUUGUGAUAUCCUGGCCCAAGGCUUAAUAGAAUUAAUAGAGUAUCCAUACCAACAAGGUGCAUCUUCUUUUUCGGAAGCCUAUAUCGAAAGAACCUCCAAGUUAAGUGUGCUUGGAUUGGAGCAAUUUAGGAUGGGUGAACGACUGGGAAGUUUUCUCGGGUGUGCAUGAGUGAAGACAAAGUGCGCACAAAAGACUCGUGUUGGUCUGUGGAGACAAUAUAUGAUCCUAGCGAGCUGUCAGGAGUAAGUACCGUCGAUCCAAGGAUUGGACGGGGUGUUACACGAACCUACGAUUUCGUAGCGACAUGUAGAAUAUUCCUACGCAGUUUGUUCUCAUGUUUGGUGUAAUGUUAUUUUUGUGUACUACUUGCCUAUUUGUAUGUAUUGCUAUGAGUAGCAGCGAGGUCACGAGAAACUCGUAGACCAACUUAGUGAAGUACCUAGAGUUGCACUAAAAAGGCAAGUUGUGCCCUUGAUCACUCUUCUUUACCUAAUAAUGUUCAUGUUAAUCACUAUGACAUGCUUAGGUUAAUUUGAUGGGACCUAAUAGGUUACCCUAGUUUUGUUUACCGCACACCUUGCAAACAAUAAACUAUUGGGUAGACUUGCUAUUGCUCUUCCUGGUUUUGGGAUUAAUGUUAUAUCUAAAUUAUGAUCAUGUUCCAUUAUUGUUGUUGGUUUAAUUAUUGUUCAUGAUAAGAUUAUUAUGUUAAAUGGAACAUGGAGCGACCACAGAGGAAAACAGUGCUACCACAAGGGUGGAAUGGGACGCCCGUGGCUGACAACUCAUUAGGAAAGCUAGUGGAGGACUACCUUACCCGAAAGAGACAAGGGCAAUAGAGGAGUUGUCGGUGUAGGGAGGUUCUCGGGUCGAUCAUGCUGCGAUGGCUUUUCGGACGAGGGAUUCCUAUAUCGCUCUUCUCGCGAAAUCGUAGUCGGUUUUCUGAAGCUAGUGGAACUUUGUAAAUGCAUCAUAGUGGAUCCCUAGCCAUUCACCUCGGGAGUGUCUAAUGGCCUUGCAAACUCUGGCUAGAUGGGAUACACGACUUGUGGGUAAAGGCACAACCUCUGCAGAUUGUAAAACUGGUAUAUCAGUCGUGCUCACGGUCAUGAGCGACUCGAACCCUCAUAUGAGUUACUUAUGGAAUUAAACUUAUAUGUCAUAUGCAUUGCAUUGUGAGAUUUAUUAUUUACUGUAACCUCUUAUUUAAUUGGGAUGGUAUCUACUUAUAUUUAGUAAAUGCUAAUAAAAUUUUGACCAACUUGUUAAAAGCAACGCUUAGCCUUAACCAUUCUCAUUGGUAAGCCUUACACUUUACAUGAGCCUCACCGUAAGUAAGUUCAUGUACAUUAUUCCCCACAACUUAUUGAGCGAUGAACAUAUGUAAGCUCACUCUUGCUGUACUCACCCCCAGGUCAAGUACAGGUACCACAAGAUAAGGAGCCUGAAGGAUAUCGCGAUGAGUUCAUGAGAGGUCUAGGUCGUCGUCUCCCUGUCAACUAUGGUUACGGAGGGUCGUUAUCUUCAUGUGAUGUAAUUAUUUAGCUAUUUUGUACAGAACCCCUAUUAUAUAAUGAAGAUGUGACAUUCGUUUCUAUAUCAUAAGUCAUCAUAUGUGUGAGACUUGAUCCUAUCACACAUUUGAUUCGCGCCCGAGU
rnacentral:lncRNA from 1 species